GCAAAGGCUCUUUUCAGAGCCAUCAUUUUUCCAGGCAGGCAGUGG
rfam:Callithrix jacchus chromosome 2, whole genome shotgun sequence